GACAGAGGUGCCAAGCGUUAGGCGGAAUCACUGGGCUUAAAGCGUGUGUAGGCGGAUCGUUAAGUACCUUGUGAAAUCCCACGGCUCAACCGUGGAACUGCUGGGUAUACUGGCGGUCUUGAGCCACCUAGGGGCAACUGGAACAAGCGGUGGAGCGGUGAAAUGCGUAGAUAUCGCUUGGAACGCCAACGGUGAAAACAGGUUGCCUGGGGGGUGUGCUGACGCUGAGACACGAAAGCCAGGGGAGCGAACGGG
rnacentral:rRNA from 1 species